AAAGAAAACACUCUGAGAACAUAGGCUUGGUCUUUUGUUUCAUCAGUCACUUCAAGCAUCUUUGCUUCAUGGGCUCUGCUCUGCGGGACUUGUUUCUUCUGCUUCCUCCUGGAUUCUUCAGUCUUGAACUUCUCUGUUGCCUGCAUUCUUGCCUUUUACUCCACUCUGCCACCUGGAUGAGAGGCCGAGGACCAGUCUGCGUCACAGAGCACCAUUUGAUUGAUCCAUUCAGACAGCAUUCAUUGAAUAUUGGAGGAACAGGACUCAGAUACAGCCUUCCAGAAGCUCACUUUCCUGCAGAGAAAAAAAUGGGAACACAUAUGAUGACCCUUCAACGUGAUGAGUACUGUGUCCCAAAGUGCUGAGAGAACUCCUCAGAUGGGUCCCUAAUUGAGCCUAGCAGCUAUGGAGAGUGAAGUGAUACAUGGACAGAUGGUUAAAGCUGAGCCAAGAUUUAAAGUACAAUUAAAAAGUUAAUCAGA